UAUUAGCAAAGCCCAGGUAGCCCUGCAGCAUUCACAGUGUGGAAGCCGAGGUCUGGCAUGUUCCUUUCACCGUUUGGAGGAAAUUUUGGAGCUAAACGGUUGGACCUGCCCCCAUGAAAAGAGAGAGAACCACAACAAGGAAGGUGAAGAGGAGGGUACUCUGGGUUCCCAUGAGAUGGGAAUGUUUCCACUUCUUCUCUGUGUUAUCUGCGGAAGCCAGUAAGAUGCUCCAGAGAAUGUUUGUGGAAAGGACAGAUGAAUGGAAAAUCAGCUGAAGGAAAAUGGCGGAAAGGAACCAGUAAGAUACCAAUGCAGGAAUUGUCCUAAACAGCUGGUAGCAUCUCUCUACAAAGAACUUUCUUCCAUCACCUGGAAAUGAGCCGCCAUGCCUCCUGUAAGGUUAGAGUUCCUGUCCCUUUGUCUUCUCUCAGAAAAACCUUGUAAUAGUCACCUCCAAUAGUGGCAAAUGAAUUUCUUUCUUUCUUUUUUUUUUUCUGUUCUUCUUUUUGUUUGAGCAUCACAUGGACCAGGGGUUUUUAUUUAUUUACUGUUAAGGUCACUUUAUAGUCAUUAUUCCUUCUGACGCUGCAGUUGUCCUAAAUUUAGCCAUGUGAGCUCCUUCAUUCUGGCUUCUGAACCCUUUUGAAACAUCCCCAUUAGACUUUGAGCACUAUCUUGCCUUAGGGCAGACAGAUGUUCGCCUUACCAAGUACUUUCCAUGCUCCGGACCUGAAAUGGCUCAUUUCUCUAAGAAGUCUUGCUUCCCUUUAGGAGAAAAUAUUAUUUACAAAUCAAGGUCUGGGCUCUAUAGAGGUCCACCUAAUGGGGUUAUCAAUGGGGAAAAAUAUUUUAGAUGUCAUAGCCUGGCAACCACAGUGAUCAUACUUUAUCCUUUUAUGCACAACAGCAUCCCAUGCUGGCAAACACUUUAAAAUUGUUUUGAGUGAGGGGUGCCUGGGUGGCUCAGUCGGUUGAGUGUCUGACUUUGGCUCAGGUCAUGAUCUCACUGUGAAUUCGAGCCCCACAUCAGGCUCACUGCUGUCAGCAUGGAGUCCGCUUUGGACCCUCUGUCCCCCUCUCUCUCUGCC